AGCACCUGUGACAAAAGGGAUACCGAGCAACUAAAGAGAGGUUAAUACACGGAUGAGCUGAGCAGAAACAUAAAGAACCCCAAGGAAGAUAUCUAACAGACAUCUAAUUACAAAUAUACAAAGAACAGUAGAAUAAACUAGGAAGAUAAAUGGAAAGGAUGAACAAUUAAGGAAAACACCUAACAACAAUAAACAUAGGGAAUUAACUUAAAGAAGAAAGACCUAAACAACAUAGUAAACUGCAAGGAAAAGGUCUGAAGUGGUGGAUGUGCCCGAGGCAGCUGGUUGCUCUCACACCUGAGAGCAAUCUCCUCAUCCCCUGCCUGGGUUCAUAAGUAAUUGAUUCUACCAGUAUAAGGUCACCCAUUCAUAACUCUUCAGAAGACCCUCAACCCAAGGUCAUCAUCCAUAGCUCCUUUCACCAAGACCCUGCUUGGGCAUGGCGGUGGUACAGGGGUGGAGAGCGUGACCCAUGUUUGGAGGCUGCAGUCCUCGAAGCAGCCAUCACAG